rnacentral:rRNA from 1 species
GAUGAACGCUGGCGGCGUGCCUAAUACAUGCAAGUCGAGCGAACAGACGAGGAGCUUGCUCCUCUGACGUUAGCGGCGGACGGGUGAGUAACACGUGGAUAACCUACCUAUAAGACUGGGAUAACUUCGGGAAACCGGAGCUAAUACCGGAUAAUAUAUUGAACCGCAUGGUUCAAUAGUGAAAGACGGUUUUGCUGUCACUUAUAGAUGGAUCCGCGCCGCAUUAGCUAGUUGGUAAGGUAACGGCUUACCAAGGUAACGAUGCGUAGCCGACCUGAGAGGGUGAUCGGCCGCACUGGAACUGAGACACGGUCCAGACUCCUACGGGAGGCAGCAGUAGGGAAUCUUCCGCAAAGGGCGAAAGCCUGACGGAGCAACGCCGCGUGAGUGAUGAAGGUCUUCGGAUCGUAAAACUCUGUUAUUAGGGAAGAACAAAUGUGUAAGUAACUAUGCACGUCUUGACGGUACCUAAUCAGAAAGCCACGGCUAACUACGUG